rnacentral:lncRNA from 1 species
GGAGAUAUUUGAGGGCUGCCGUGCUCGGGAACUGCCGUGUCACACUUCACAAAAGGUUGUCCAAGUAGCAGCUGUCAUUGUUAAAGAAGCAGCAACAAGAGGAUUGUUGAUCUCAAAAGCAGUACGAACCAACACUUAAUAACAGAAGCAUGUUUUUAAGUUCCCUUCGUAUAUUAUCUCACGUAAUUACCACAGUGACUCCAUCAGGAAUGGAUGAAGAAAGCAUGGUGGGAAAUGGAGAAUGAAGGAUUGCAAGCAAAAGUGAGAACAAGAAUGAGGAAUAAAAACAGAGGAGAAAGUUGAAAAGAAAGAGCC